rnacentral:rRNA from 1 species
AACGAAUGAUGGCGGAAGGCCUAACACAUGCAAGUCGAACGAGACCUUCGGGUCUAGUGGCGCACGGGUGCGUAACGCGUGGGAACCUGCCCUUAGGUUCGGAAUAACUCCCCGAAAGGGGUGCUAAUACCGGAUAAUGUCUUCGGACCAAAGAUUUAUCGCCUUUGGAUGGGCCCGCGUUGGAUUAGCUAGUUGGUAGGGUAAAAGCCUACCAAGGCGACGAUCCAUAGCUGGUCUGAGAGGAUGAUCAGCCACACUGGGACUGAGACACGGCCCAGACUCCUACGGGAGGCAGCAGUGGGGAAUAUUGGACAAUGGGCGAAAGCCUGAUCCAGCAAUGCCGCGUGAGUGAUGAAGGCCUUAGGGUUGUAAAGCUCUUUUACCCGGGAUGAUAAUGACAGUACCGGGAGAAUAAGCUCCGGCUAACUCCGUG